GAUUUCUGGCUUGAAACAUUUUGCCGGCCACGGUUUCGUGUGUUAGUGCUUGAUGUUCUGGCCAUCCUUCCAAUUGCUAUUCAUCUUUCUUCAUUGAUGGGUGGAUGGUGUUGGAUCUUUUACUUUGAAAAAAUUAGAGUGUUUCAAGCAGGCUUAAUGCUAUGAAUACAUUAGCAUGGAAUAAUAAUUUAGGACUUCGGUUCUAUUUUGUUGGUUUCGAGAGCUGAAGUAAUGAUUGAUAGGGAUAGUUGGGGGUGCUAGUAUUCAGAGGCCAGAGGUGAAAUUCUUGGAUUCUCUGAAGACUAACUUAUGCGAAAGCAUU
rnacentral:rRNA from 1 species